GUGUAGCCACGCCUACCCACCACCGCCCCACCCCCUCGGCGGGAUCCGCAGCCUCGUGGCCCCUCCCCUAGGGCGCAUGCGCCUUCCGCUCUGCUCGCCCGGCGUGCCCGCUUCCGCGCUGAGGUGGGUUUCCUCCCGUGAGCGCGCGUGCACACGCCCCUGGGGACGCGCUUGCCCGACGUCCGGCCCCUCCGAAACUCCGGCAGGGGGCGAAGAGCAUGAUGGAAAGACGGGAAUCUGGACCUUGCCUUAAUUCCUGACGUGGUAUGAUUCUUGGGAGAAUGCACACAGCUGGCAGAUGAUAUUAUCAGUAUGGUAAAGACAACAGGGGGAAAAUUAAAAAACAAAAGAACUCAAACAAUGAGGAACAAAAGAUGUCACUGACCGAUAGAUGGAGAGUCCAGAGGGCACACAGAGCAAGUGCGGCAUCCCGAGGAGCAGCAGGGAGAGGCCACGACCUUAGUGAUGGCCCGAGUAGUGUGCCCCGAACCGUGAUCUCCUACGUUGCAUCCCUGAAGAAUUGUAGGGGCUUCUAAAACAUACAUCUUUACUUCCAGGGUAUAAAAUCCUAAAGAAUAUAUGCCCUUUGUAUGUUCACAGAUGAAGUUAUCUCUAAAAAGUUGA